rnacentral:lncRNA from 1 species
AGUUGAUUUAAUAACCCACUUAAGGUGGACUUAAAUAGGCUUUGAGAGAAAUUUAUUUCUCUUUCCUAGAAGGAUCUAAUUUCCUAUUAAAGAGGGAAUCUACAUCAAAAUAGGAAGUAGUCAUGCGUUUCCUAAAUCAAGAAGAUCUCUACACCUACUGCCCUUUCUUACGAGCAGCCCAACAGGUAUGAGGGCAUUUGUGAAGCCAAAAAUAAGCACAAGGCGACACGUGGAUUUUUGGAUGAAGAUGACAAAUUUACCCUCAAGGCAUACCAGGUCUCCUACACGCGAGCAAUGGAGAAUCAUCCAUCAACCAAAUUAGAAGUACCCAAAAUAGGUAACAAGUUCAAAUUUGUCUCAUCCAUUCUCAUUCCAUAACCUCCAAAAAAACUCCCAAAACAUUUCUUUUAUUAUGAUAAUUAGCCAAUUAAUAUAUUUAUACCUAAUUAAUAUAUU